rnacentral:lncRNA from 1 species
GCCUCAUUGCCCCCAACUGGCCCCUCACUCUGUGGACCGCCCCCCAUCACAUGCCCUAUUUCCCCAAUGGGGGCCCACAAAUAUGUUUGGCGCCGAGCCCACAAAAAGUUAAUCCGGCCCUGUGAUACAGACUGAAAUCACCAUAGCUUUGCAGUUCCUUUUCUACUUUCGCUUUCUACCUUGGUGAAGGCAUCGAGAGAGACACAUUUCACUUCAGCGUCCAACAAAAAAUAAACACCAUAUUGGCAGAAAUACGGAAGGAAAGACCAGGAUUCAGCUCUUUGUCUCUGUAAUUUCUUACUAAGAAUUAAUUUUGCAGUCUCAUCACUGAAAGAGUCACUGACAAUGUAAACUAAUUAGAGGAGAAUGGAUGAGGAUUUUAGAAAACCUGGGAACACGAGAGAGAGCUCAAAACUGUUCCAAAGCUUAUUUCCAGGAUGUGUCAGAUCAAGUUACAAUGAAGAUGAAGAUUCUCUCAUUCUGCCACAGCUCCAGAGCCAGCUCCCCUCUCCCUGGUUUUAUUGUUUUCUUCCUUAUUUGUUAUGUUCACAGGAUGGAAUCAGGUAGGAAUCCGCCCUGUGUCUGCUGUUUCUUAGAGGAUUUAUUUAGGCCCCUGAAGUGUCUUAACAACAUGCUCCACUCAAAGUCAAUGUAACUAUUCACAGUGUGUAAACUUAACCACACAGCAAGAUCAGCACCUUCAUUAUUCAUUUUUUGCCCUGAUUGUGUUGCUGCUGGGUUAUUUUAUUUGCUUCUGGGAUAGUGCCCAGGUCUGUUUCUUCACACACGUACUUUUUUAAAAUUGGGCCUGUUAGCUAAUACAUAUAUGUUAGGUGCAGUAUACACCAUAUGAUUAGGUAUUAUGUGCACGGUAGUCUUAUAAUAUACAUUACAGAGAAAGAGAGAGAGAGAGAGUGUUGGGAAGUUAACUGAAUGUAUUAUGUCUUUUCCCACAAUUCUCUUCACCAAUAUCUAAUAUCCCACAACACUGUAAAAUCUGAAGUUAGUAUUCACAAGAGAAAAUAGGAAGUCUGUCAAAGCCAUGAAAGGUGUGUCCUCGCACUGGUUGGGAUGUACCUCUACACCCACCGGAUUUGGAAUGUGGUAUCCAAAACAGGGUUAAGGAAGGUACAGAACAACAAGUUAAGAAACUGGUGGGCUGGAUCUUAGGUGAUGUUUAAAGUGCUUUCUCACUUGUAAACAGCCACGGUAUAAGUAUAAGAGGGUUUAGGGUGUAUUUUCAAAGCACACCUUGUGUGUAAGGUGACACACUGCAAGAUAAGAAUUGCUUUACAGGAGGAGGGUACAGAUGUCUCCUUUUUGUAGUUUACUGUUUUGUCUUUAGGCAAUAAUUUUCGCUAAGUUUGGUUAUUUGGUCUCUUGAGCAUGUGAAGUAUUGAACAUAAUAGUCCAAAAAUUGGUUCUAGCAAUAUGGCUGUGUCUCAGGAACACCUUGGUGAAAGAACACCAAAUGUGGCCCAACAACCCUACCCUUUUUCCUGGUGAGGCCCAGCAAAUUUCAUGGCAAUGUUGGUAAGCGUGUCAAUUUGAGAGCACUUACAAAAACAGGCUGUUGAAUAGUAAGUUUAUCUCAACUAUACACUGAGCACGUCCAUUCCCAGUUCUCUGCCUCAGUUUCUCUGAUGUGUGACUGU